GCCGAUGUGGCUCAGGGGUUAGAGCAUCGGCCUACACACCAAAGGGUCCUGGGUUCAACUCCCAGUCAAGGGCA
rfam:Myotis brandtii contig194485, whole genome shotgun sequence.